GCUUCUGUGGUAGAGCGGUAAUCAUGUGCGCCUCACAUGCGCAAGGUCUCUGGUUUGAUCCCGGGUGGAAACA
rnacentral:tRNA from 1 species